rnacentral:rRNA from 1 species
CAGCAGCCACGGUAAUACGAAGGGGGCUAGCGUUGCUCGGAAUGACUGGGCGUAAAGGGCGCGUAGGCGGUUCGUACAGUCGGAUGUGAAAUCCCCGGGCUUAGCCUGGGAACUGCAUUUGUGACUGGCGGGCUAGAGUAUGGCAGAGGGGGGUAGAAUUCCACGUGUAGCAGUGAAAUGCGUAGAGAUGUGGAGGAAUACCGAUGGCGAAGGCAGCCCCCUGGGCCAAUACUGACGCUCAUGCACGAAAGCGUGGGGAGCAAACAGGAUUAGAUACCCGUGUAGUCCCUGUCUCUUAUAU